UUCUUUCCAAGGCAAAACAUCAUGAGUGU
rnacentral:piRNA from 1 species